rnacentral:rRNA from 1 species
UGUAAGAAUUAAUGGUCGAACAGACCAUAUUUUUAAACUUCUACACCUAAAAAUUAUCUUAAUCCAACAUCGAGGUCGCAAUCUUUUUUAUCGAUAAGUUCUCUCAAAAAAUAUUACGCUGUUAUCCCUUAAGUAACUUAAUCUUAUAAUCAAUAAUAUUGGAUCAACCCAUAAAUCAAUGAAAAAAAGUUCAAUUAAUUUUCCUAUCGCCCCAAUAAAAUAUUAUAUAAAGCUUUAAAGGGUCUUCUCGUCCUUUAAAAAAAUUUAAGCUUUUUAACUUAAAAAUUAAAUUCUAAUUCAUUUAAAAUGAAACAGAUAGUAUUUCAUUCAAUCAUUCAUUCCAGUUCCUAAUUAAGAAACUAUUGAUUAUGCUACCUUUGCACGGUCAAAAUACCGCGGCCUUUUUCAAUGGGCAGAUUAGACUUAAAAUU